ensembl:lincRNA
GAGAAUUCACCCUCUGUCGGAAUCCCUGUUUUCUGAACAGAACGUGAGUCCUUGAUUGUGAAAGCUGGCUGAUGGGCGGGGGGUGCAGGCCCCCUGGCCUCAGCCCAGGGUGUUUGUGGAGCCUUGUGCGCGUGUCUGCAUCACUGGCUCUGCUUCCUCUCCUCCCGCCCCGCCACAAGCCAGCGGAGGAAGAGGAAGGCAGGGGUGACACAAAAUGGCCAGGGCUUCCUCGAUGGCACAGCCUCUUCUGCAAAGGUGUGUGUGCUGCAGCUGCGUUCAGAAGGCAGGAUGCCCCAGCCAAGGAAGGAAGUCUCGUCUCUGGUUUAAAUUUCCCAGUGCAGCCUGCUUCAGAAAUAAAUCAAAAAACAAGAUGCCCUUCCCUCAUCUGCUGCAGACAGCUCCCAAACACUCCAGCCCCAUGAGAUCUGAGCUGAGCUCUGGGUGAGACGAGUAUAGACCAGCAUGUUCCAACUCCCCGGCAUUAGCAGACAGGGCAGCUGCUGGGCAGCUGAGAGCUGACGUGCCAGGGAAAGUGAAGCCCAGUGACAAGAUGGAUGGGCAUCCGUGGCUGCUGUUUCAUGCCUAAUUAACAAGAGGAAAGGCCAACAAUGGAGACUGUAAAUCGACCUUGGAAAACAACCCAGGGAGUGGCUCCCCCUUUAUCCCCAGGCUAGGACCCCCGCCCCUUUCCUGGGCCCGCUGGGGCUGGCCCCUCAGCGCUCCCUCCUCGGCUCUCCUGCUUGUGCCGGCCCCCACUUCCUCUGCAUUUCCUUUCUCCAGCCAGGCCUUACCACUUUCCUGUUUUCCUGGUCAUGAAGGAUUCCAGCCGAGGAAGAGAAACGGUACACGAAGCUUUUUGUCUUCACCCGCUAACUCACAAUCACAAGGGAAAGAACUACUCUAGGUGUCUCAACAAUGAGAUGCGCUGAACCCACCACUCAUCCCAGAGCUUGUCCAGGGAAAGUCCAGAUGCCCCGGGGUGGGGGGUGCCCCCAUGGUCCCCCACACACCCUGUCCCUGGGGCAAAGUCCAGGGUCACCCCAAACACAAGCUUUAGUCACUUUUCAUGUGGCGACAGCUUAAUAGCUUCCAGCCUCAGAUAUUAAAAUGAAACUGCAAAA